UUUUAGCCCAGAUGGAAAUGAAAAGCCCACAGUAUAAAAAAACAAUUUUUCUUGUUGUAAAAGAGCGACCAGCGGAAGCUCCUUUUAGGACUUAGAAAAAUAUUUUUUUUAUACUGUGGCCUUGUAAUGUAUAGCUGGAUUAGCU
rnacentral:sRNA from 1 species